CCCACUUCGAAUUAUAUUUCACUAAUCCAAAUUGUCUAUUUUGUAGAUAUUCAUUCAAAGAUCAUCUCUUCGUCCAAAAAAAAAUUUUCAAAGAUCAUCUCUACAAAAAAUCACUUGAAUCCGAUACCGUUUGACCACUCAAUUUAGUUAUUGAAAUUUUAGUACUUUCUUUAAGCACCGUGUUUAUUGAUUUUGUAGGACAUAAUUGGAUGUUGAAGCUGUUGCCUGGGCUCGGGCCCUGUCCUGCCAGGGCUGGGGGCUAUGGUUGGACUUGCUUUAAUGUAACACAAAUAUUGUUUUAGCUACUUUCAGUAACUCUAAAUCUGACACAAUUUUAAAAAUUGCCAAAGCAUGUGUGUGGUUUAUAAAAAAAUUUGACAAUUCACUUUCCAAAUUUAUAUAUAUUUGUAAGCCACUCAAAUGUUUGUGCAAGAUCUUUAAAAUGAGAUUUAAGGUAUGAACAACACAUGGAGACCAAAAAAUAUGGUCGUGUACCUUUCCAAUCUCUCUAUCAGGUGCGACACAGUUACUUGCAGUGUCAGUUACUACUUGGAAAAUAUUAUGGGGCCCCACUUCUGCAAUUGCUUCAAGUAAGAGGCUUAGGAUCUCUUUACUAGUCUUUUCAAUCCCCAACAUAUCAUGUGUCACGCCCCGAAUUUUCAACAACAAAUAACCUUUGAGUUAUUACAAACAAACUGAUCUGGGACAUGAAACUUGGAACCUUCAACAAAUAUAUUAGAAAUUUUUUUUUCUUUUUCCUUAAUACAAUACAACCUGUUAUGAACCCAUAUCUGAUGUUUAACUCACACAUUGGCUGAC
rnacentral:lncRNA from 1 species